rnacentral:tRNA from 2 species
GCCGUCUUAGCUCAGUGGUAGAGCGCGUGACUUUUAAUCCCGUGCCGUGGGUUCGAUCCCCACAGACGGCG